rnacentral:rRNA from 1 species
GUGCACCAGGCGAGAAAACUUCACACUGCGCGAAAGCGCGAUGAGGGAAUCCCAAGUGCUUGCACGUAAGUGUAAGCUGUUUCUCUGUCUAAAAAGCAGAGAGAGUAAGGGCUGGGUAAGACGGGUGCCAGCCGCCGCGGUAAUACCUGCAGCUCAAGUGGUGGCCGCUAUUAUUGGGCCUAAAACGUCCGUAGCCGGUCUAGUAAAUGCCUGGGUAAAUCGUGAGGCUUAACCUUACGAAUUCCGGGUAGACUGCUAGACUUGGGACCGGGAGAGGCUAGAGGUACUCCUGGGGUAGAGGUGAAAUUCUGUAAUCCUAGGGGGACCACCAGUGGCGAAGGCGUCUAGCUAGAACGGGUCUGACGGUGAGGGACGAAGCCCUGGGGCGCAAACCGGAUUAGAUACCCCCGUA